rnacentral:lncRNA from 1 species
CUACAGCACUUACCAAUCAUCCCCUUAGUACACAAUCUAAAGCAUCUUUCUUUUGAUUUGCAAGAUAUUAUAGAACAAAAAUGUUGCAUUUUCAUAGCCGACUAAAGAGCAUUUUUCGCCUACUCUGUUCCCAAGAGAUUAGAGUUUCAGAACGCCAUGGAAACUUACACAAAAGAACAAUGUUCCCAAAGAAAUCAGACUCCAUGUAUGAAACCAAGAUGCACCCUGAAUCAAACUCAGGUCCUAACCAGACCCGUCUUAAAGAUAAAAUGGACCCUGAGCAAAAAUGAUAAACUGAGUCCAUUUCUUCACCUAGCUUAGUUAGGAAAGAUAAACACACUCUCUUCUUCAGAUUCUACUGGUUUCUUCCGCUUCCUCCCAUUCUCUGCUACCUCUUUCUUUACUUGUUACUGAACCAUUGUAACAAAAACGUAAAAAAAAAGCAACCUUUAUCUAAAAAAAAAGCAACUUCUAAAUCAUUUAGAAGUAAUGCAUUGAACAACUUAACUUCGCUAGACCUAAUUACAAUUGCUUUAAAAAAAAAAAGAUUUCAAACAAGAUAUAUAAGCAACACUUGAGUGCAGUAGACACUUGAGUAAACAAUUUGAUAUUCUUCAAAAUCUAUACUUUCCAACUCAGUCUAAAAGCUGCAAGCAAGUCUCAAUGGAUUGAUUAUCUUCCACGGAAACUAAAUUGCAUGAACCAGUCCAAAGAGAGAAAAAAAAAGUUCUAUCUCUUUUUUUUUUUACCAUUCUAAUCUCUCUCAAACUUCUUCAGAACAGUUAACACAUGAUUCACUACCAGUCUACCACCAAUAACAAACAAGAGAGUGAGAGAGACAGACAGAGACUCACCUAUGAACCCAUAAGACAAAAACACUAUCAGAAACCCUAUAAAGGGUUUCUCUUUUCUGCAACCAAACAACUAAAGUAAGCAGAGCAGAGGACAACCCAGAUCAGAAGAAAAGACUGAGACAAUAACCCAAACAGAAGAUAUAUAACAACAACAACAAGUGUUUGUUGAAAUAGAAAAAAGAUGAUUGCUUUCAAAAGACUUUUCUUCUUUUUUUUUUUCUCUCUGUGAAGCUUUAAGAGAGAAAAAAAACGUAAGGAUGACGCUUUCCU